rnacentral:lncRNA from 1 species
ACAUAGACAACCACCCUUUACCAGAAAAGACAGAAUUAAAAAUAAAACACAAAAUAAUGAAUGAUUCGAAACAGGGGAAUUUCAAAAAGGGAUAAUAAAUCCUCUAAAGCAGUGUGAUGCCUUCCAUUCUUGGAUAUAUUUUAAGUGAUGCGGCGACACAAGGUGAUGCCAUCACCAACAGGAAGCUGACAGAUUUCAAUUCUGGAAUCAGCAGCCAAGGCCUUGUUGAGUUCCAAUACGAAAUCCCUAUAAUACCUAACGUAUUUUCUGAGUGGUGCAUCAGGUGGUGCCACUACCGAUCCGUUCCAUAGGGUGUUGUCAUAGCCAAUUACUCCACCAAUCUUAACCAAGUCGAUUAAUCUCUUGUGAUAGUUCAAGUAAUUGUCCUUGUCAGCGUCCACAAAUAUGAAAUCGUAUGAUCCAUGAUAUUUUCCCUGUUAAUCAUCAACAUUAGCAGCAAUCAUACACAAGUUAUCAGUUCAUUCAUGAGAUUUUAUCUACUUACAUCUUCAAUCAUUUGGUCAAGAACAGGAAGUGCAGGGCCUUCUCUGAAUUCAAUUUUGUGAGCUAGACCAGCUUUUUCAAUCACUGGAAGACCAAUCUCAUAGUUAUCGCGGUUGAUAUCCAUGGCCAGAAUCUGAAUCAUCAAUUUUAGCAAAUUAGUACUCUACUAUUUAUAAUUAAUGAAGUUCAAUUAUGAUUUGUUAAUUACCUUGCCAUCAUCUGGAAGAGCCAUGGCAGUAGCAAGAAGAGAGUAACCAGUAAAAACACCAAUUUCCAUUGUGUUUUUGGCAUUGAUGAGUUUGAGAAGCAUAUUCAAGAAUUGCCCUUCAUCGGCGGAGGUGGUCAUAAGGUUCCUGUUUUUUCCAUCAAAGAAAGAUAUCAGCAUACAAUAUUUUAAGUAUCCAAUUGGAUGAACUAAAUUGAGAAAAUGAGUUGUUACCAAGGGUGUUUUGCAGUAAUCUCUCUUAGCUCUUUCAUGGCUUCAGGCUCUCUCGGGUACACGCUUGUUUCAAGAAUGUACUGUUCAAACACAAAUCAAACAAUUCAUUAGGAUCAACAUGUUAGUAAUUACUAAUUAAUAUCUUGUAUGUGACCUUUAAUUUACCUGAUAAAGGGCAUCACUUUGCAAGAGACUCUUGUGUCCAACUUCUUGGUGUCUACUAUUUUCUCCAUUGCUUGUCAUUGAUAACUGCUUAAAGUAUCUUGUUGUUUCUGAAAUAGAUAAAAAGUGUUUAAAGUAAAAGCAAGCAACCUGCUUUUGUAGAGAUGAAAAUGGCUUAAUUUAUAGUAGAAGAAAACAAGAGAGACAUGAGGGGUUUGGUUGGCUGAAAAUGAUUGGAAGUUGGUGAACUCUCCUACUCUCCUUCCUCCUUUAAUUAAAUUUGUCCAAUUGACCAACUCCUUUUUUUGACUACCUAACAAUACCCACCACCAGCCUCUCACUUUACUAAUUUUAAAUUAAGCUACUUUCCUUGACAAAUUCAGAAUGAAACGUAUUCUCUAUUUGAAGAGAGUCGUGUCAAUUGGAAAUUUCUAACAUUUAACGCAUUGUAUAUGCUUUCUUAAGAAAGCUCUAGGAUUAAUAGCUCUGUAACACAAUGAUAAGUAAUAUUACAAGUAUUUGGUUGAGCAAUGACAUAAAACUGGUAAUUUUAUGUAGUUGUUGUCUUACAAAUAAUGGGCAUGAAUUAUUUUACUAUGAGAGUCCAGCAUAAUAAAAAUCAUCUUAGCUGACAAGGAUCCAGAAAAGGAGUUAAGUUUGCUGGUGUUUGUUCAAGUGAAGAAUAUUUUCUAAGAAGACAUUGUUAAAAGUAUAAUAAUUAUUUAUUUUGAGGAUGAGAAAUUCAAGACUGUGUUGUAUUCUUUUAAUUUAUCAAAACUCAAAUGGUAUUACUAAUUGUUUUUGACAACAAAUUUCUGGGAGUUAUCUUAUUCUGGCGUUAGUCAAACUUGACUCAUCAAAAAAGUUCAACAAUAUAACACUAAAUGCACAAAUAGAAAAAUGUUACCGCUCCGUUUUAUUUUAUACAACGACCAUAAGUAAAUUUAAAAAGAGAGACUUUUGAUACACACCAAUAGUAUAUUUAUAAUUUAUGGUUUUAAAUAUACCAUGGUAAUUAUAUAGCUAUAAGAGCAUGACAUUGACAGUAAAACGAAAAGUUCUAAAAAAAAAUAAAAAAAAAUGUGUCACGGAAAAUUAAUUAAUUAAAGAGAAUAGACUUUGAUAUUACUAUCACAAUCACAUUGCCAAGUGUAAUUUGGUUGUAUGUAUGGUGUGUUUUUCCGACGCGACUCUGUCUAGUGUGAUUGAAAUGAAGCAACAUAAACUCGUCCAAUCAAGGCAAACACCCAGAAUCUCAGUACAAAAUGUAAUCUUUUUACUAGAAAACAGAAGUGGAAAAAAGAGAAGAUAAAAUAAGGAAUGAUUCAAAACAGGGAAAUUCUAAAAACAAUAGUAAAUCCUCCAUUGCCAUGAGCUAGUCCAGUAGUUCCUUUCAUAGAUUAUAGUAGUAUUUAUUUAACUAAUGCGGCGACAAAGGGUAAUGCCAUCACCGACGGGAAGCUGGCAAAUUUCGAUUCUAGGAUCAGCAGCCAAGGCUUUGUUGAGUUCCAAUAUGAAAUCCCUAUAAUACCUAACAUAUUUCCUUAGCGGUGCAUCAGGUGGUGCCACCACUGAUCCAUUCCAUAGAGUGUUGUCAUAGCCAAUUAAUCCACCAACCUUCACCAACUCUAUUAAUCUUUUGUGAUAGUUCAAGUAAUUGUCCUUGUCAGCAUCCACAAAUAUGAAGUCAUAUGAUCCAUGGUAUUUGCCCUGUUAAUUGUUAAAACAACAUUAUUCAAAAAA